rnacentral:rRNA from 1 species
UACGGGGGGGGGCAAGCGUUGUUCGGAAUUACUGGGCGUAAAGGGCGCGUAGGCGGCCAGACAAAGUCGAGUGUUAAAUUCCAGGGCUUAACCCUGGGCUGUUGCUCGAUACUAGUCGGCUAGAGUGUGGAAGAGGGUGCUGGAAUUCCCGGUGUAGCGGUGAAAUGCGUAGAUAUCGGGGAGGAACACCAGUGGCGAAGGCGGGCACCUGGGCUAACACUGACGCUGAGGCGCGAAAGCUAGGGGAGCAAACAGGG